rnacentral:rRNA from 1 species
ACGGCUCAGUAACACGUGGACAACGUGCCCUUAAGUGGAGGAAAACCUCGGGAAAUUGAGGAUAAUACUCCAUAGAUCAUGGAAUCUGGAACGAUUCAUGGUUCAAAGUUCCGGCGCUUAAGGAUCGGUCUGCGGCCUUUCGUUUAGUAGUGUGUGUAACGUACCUACGAGCCUAUGACGGGUAUGGGCCUUGAGAGAGGGAGCCCAGAGUUGGAUUCUGAGACACGAAUCCAGGCCCUACGGGGCGCAGCAGUCGCGAAAACUUCACAAGGGGCGCAAGCCCGAUGAGGGAACUCCUAGUGCUAGCACUUUUGGGUUAGCUUUUCUUUAGCGUAGAUAACUAAAGGAAUAAGGGCUGGGUAAGACGGGUGCCAGCAGCCGCGGUAAUAC